UCAGAAAUCCGCGCUGGUCAAACUCAUCAAAAUACCCCGGUUAUUUCUUUGCUUCCUGUUCAAAUACCCCACAUCAAUGUAUCCUGUUUAUUAGUAGAAGGGAGAGUAUAUAAUUAGCACGUUUGUUUACAUUUUCGCCGUAAAACGCCAAAUUUUUAAACGCGUGUCAGUUCUUUUGCUGUUUCCGCUAUCUUUGAAAACCUCGACACCUCGUGGAGAAGAUUUGGUAUGGAUUUGGUGACCAGGCCUUUUUGUCAAAAAAGUGAUCAAAUGUCCCUUAAUGUACUCUGUGAUCACAGCGUGUUAUCAAAUGUCCCCAAAUUUUCCUGCAAAUUCAAGUCCCGAAUUCAAGACUCAUGCCAGGUCUUGAAUUG